AUUGAACGCUGGCGGCAGGCCUAACACAUGCAAGUCGAGCGAGCGGCGGACGGGUGAGUAAUGUAUGGGGAACUGCCUGAUGGAGGGGGAUAACUACUGGAAACGGUAGCUAAUACCGCAUACCAUCAGAUGUGCCCAUAUGGGAUUAGCUAGUAGGUGGGGUAAUGGCUCACCUAGGCGACGAUCCCUAGCUGGUCUGAGAGGAUGAACAGCCACACUGGGACUGAGACACGGCCCAGACUCCUACGGGAGGCAGCAGUGGGGAAUAUUGCACAAUGGGCGCAAGCCUGAUGCAGCCAUGCCGCGUGUAUGAAGAAGGCCUUCGGGUUGUAAAGCACUUUCAGCGGGGAGGCGUUACCCGCAGAAGAAGCACCGGCUAACUCCGUGCCAGCAGCCGCGGUAAUUC
rnacentral:rRNA from 1 species